UACGUAGGGUGCAAGCGUUGUUCGGAAUCAUUGGGCGUAAAGCGCGUGUAGGCGGUUAAUUAAGUCGAGUGUGAAAUCCCUGGGCUCAACCGAGGAAGUGCAUUCGAAACUAACUGGCUAGAAGACGGUAGAGGAAGGUGGAAUUCCAAGUGUAGAGGUGAAAUUCGUAGAUAUUUGGAGGAAUACCGGUGGCGAAGGCGGCCUUCUGGACCGGUCUUGACGCUGAGACGCGAAAGCGUGGGGAGCAAACAG
rnacentral:rRNA from 1 species